ensembl:lncRNA
AUUUUAUUUACAGAAACUUGUUACAAAACAAAUAUACUAUACAAUCUUUUUUCUUUAAAUAUUAAUUCUAACCUAUGUUUUGUUCAUGAAUUACAUAGCAGCCAAUACAUAAGUCCAGCUGAAAAUGAUUUUGAUAAUGUAUACAAAAAAAAAAAAAAAUUAAAAAAGAAAAUCUAUACACGCUUUUAUAUAGUAUGAAUGGUGGAUUUAUUGUUUCCUCCCAAACACGAGCUGUAUUCUCUCUCACAUUCACAUUCCAAGUCUAGGGAGCUAUUUAAAAAAAGCAACACAACCUCGUGAGGUUUCCAUCUCCCGGAAACUAUGUCAAAAUGUCUGUCAGUGGAGUUUGAGGGUAAACAAAACACUUGAUUGAAGAUUUUUUAGGUAAAAAAUCGCAGUAAACCAGAGAGGACUUAAGCCACGCAUAAUGAGGCUACCGAAAUCUCCACGUCUUGUCUGGAAAAGUUUUGACCCUUUCCUCUCCACCUCCCCAAAAAAACCUCCACCAACAACAACAACACAACACAAGUGUUUCAUACUGGGCGGCUGACAAUCUCCGGUUUUACCAUAUUUAGGGUUCAUAGGCAGAUUUAAAAGCAAACGCCUAAAUGCUUCCAACAUUCAAGUAAGGUAAAACAACCCAAAGCACACUGUCAUCAAAACAGUCAGGGUGAAACAAAUUCAGGCACUUUCUUAAUUUCAUUUAAAAGCUGCAAACUAUUUCUUUAAAAGCGGUGAUUGAAAUGACUUGUUUGGCAACGAUGACGCAAGCAGUCGGACUGUUUGUUUGUUCCCCUUCCUUGAAUGAGUCCUUUCAGCCUUCAUAAAAGAACGCAAGUAUUUCAAUCGUGAAAUGUGUUUAAGGUCUACAGAGUGUUCGACUGAAAGGUUAAUUGAAACUGGUUGGACAGCUUCAAGCCUUCAGAACCACAGGCUAGUUGGGUCAUACACUGACUUUUUUGUUGAUUUAGAGGCAACGCAAAAAUAUCUUGUGAAAGCACAUGUGAUUGACACCUUGAGAAGUGAAUGAAGGUAUCCUGUCAUACAGACACAUGGCAACACGUCAGCUCGGAUACUCUAAGGAUCUCCUCCGUACAUGAUUCAUGAGAUGCUUCAGCUUCUACAUAUAGGCAUAUUGCAUUCUAUAGACCUGGCAGUGAACCACUUCAAAUAAUCAAGUUCUCCGACUUGUCCUAAAUAAAUAAUUUUUUUUCUUUCAUUAAUUAAAAAAAAAAAAAGUUGUACCAAAAAUUCUGCGUGUACAAAAAAAGCCUGUGCAAAAAUACAUAUUUCAAUAUGUACUAUUUAACAAAAUAUUUAUUCUCAAAUAGGGAUACUCCAAUACUUGCUUGAUACAUUAGGCUACAAAAAAAAUUGUCCUCUACUUUUCCACGAUGACAUCACUGGAGGUUACAUGAACAGGUGUUGCCAAAAGCGUUCAUGUCCGGUGAAGCCAUCUCCAUGAAUCUCGCACCAUUAAACCCACGCAGCCGCUGGAAAUAAGCAAACAUCCAGACAAGUAUUGCCUGAUUUAAGACUCCAUUUUGACAAAGGAAUAGAGCAUAAUGCCUGGUUGUCCCGUUCUGCCGCGACAAACCCUUUCUCCACAGACACCACCAUAGUGUCGCUCGGCUAGUGGUGGUUACACACGGGCGGGCUAAUCAAACCCACAGAAGACAGGCGACGUGCAUAAAGUUUGCUCCAGUUAAGACGUACCAUACCUGAUUUCCUAUGUAGGAAAAGUAACAUUACAGUUCACAUCUGCCCCCCCCCC